rnacentral:misc_RNA from 1 species
UAGUGACCAAGUAAGAGCCUGACAAACAUAAAAUCUCAAAGCGGCCCUACACAUGCAGAACAAAACAAAAGUUUAGAUUUCAAUUUCAACUGAUGACAUACGCACAAAAGCUAGAAAAGAAACAUUGAAUAUUUGAAGGCAAACCAGCCUAAAAUCAGGGAGCUAAUAUCCAACAUCUCAAUAAAUAGAUCAGGAGGAUACUUUUAUUUUAAAAAAAAAAUAAAACAAUGAAAAAGAACCUUGCAUGACUUCUCUUUUAUUUAAACAGUAAAAUAACGCUUAUAAAAGUUUCUCACCUUUGGACUUCUCUUUUUUUUGGGGAAAAUGAAUCCAUUCAAAGCCUAAUCAGGCAACAAAGAUGAUACAAAUCAGACUUGGGUUAUGGGAUUGAAUAGAAAAUCCUGGAUAACCUAUGAGCACAUUCAUUGGUUGAUCUCCUAACAAAAGGAAAAAUACAGUUAUCAAACUCAGUUACAAUAGUUAAAACAUCUUGAAUCAUACCUUGAAUGUCUUUCAAUAAUGAUGUGGCGGAAUCCUUUACUUUAAGCUAGAAGAAUUGUUUCUUUACAAGCUAGACUUUCCAAAAUGACAGGAUUACAAAUGGCAGGGAUUCUUUUACACACCCAACCAGCAGGAAGGCCUCAAAAAUCCCGAGCAAUUACUGUUAUUGCACCAAUGUUACAUUGACUCCUUGUCACUGCAUCAAAAUUGAGUUUAAAACAUCUUGAUGGAGGGGUUGAUCAAGGCUGAGUUUGGAUGGUUGAUUGCUGAAACCGGUGCUGCACUUCUUAGGAUAGAUUGAAUUCCUCAAAAUUUUCCAAAGCUAAUGAGAUAACUUGCUGAGGAGGAUGUGAUUGAUUUUGUGAGGUUCCUGUUCUUCCAUAUUUGCCACAUAAGAAAGGCAAACUAAGAAAUUAAAUUCUCUUUUUGAUUAUUGUUAGAUAGAAAAUUUGAAACUUCUACCCAACAAUCCAUCAUUGAAUGACCUGCAGAAAGGAUGAUCUCAACCCAAAAAAGAGAUUGUACCCACAUUUCAACCAUUUUUGGACAGAGGAAGAAAAUGUGCUUUAGAGUUUCCCUUGCACCACCGGCCAAACAUUCCUCAGAAGCAUCAUGAAAUCUACUUUUGAUAAAACUAUUACCAGGAAGUCUUUCUUUUAGAGCUCUCCAUAAAAAAAAAAUGGAUAAUUUCGAAGGAAGAGAAAUUUUCCAUGCUCGCUUCCAAACUAGACUAUUAUUCCUUACUGAUGCUGGUCCUGGAUCCCCCUGUAAAGAACUACCCAAUUGUUUCAAAUGGAAGGCUAUAUGAUAGCCUGAUUUCACACUAUAGUCCCCAUUUCGAGUAUGAUGCCAAACCAGCUUGUAAUCUCUUGGAAUCAAACUAAUUGUGAAGGCUAGGAUAUUAGGAAUUUCCUUUUCAUUAAAGACUUCCUUAAAACCCGAAUGUUCCAAGUAUGGCUCUUCCUAUGAAUGAGUUGAAACACCCAAUGGAUAUUGUGAUUAGUGUUCAUUUUUACUAAAGGGAAUGAGCUUGGAAUCCACCUUUCUUCCUUACAUAAAAUAAAUGCCCCAUCUUGGACUUGUCAUCUCAAACCUUGAUUCAACACUUCCCUUCCCCACAAAAGACUUCUCCAACCCCAAAAAGAGUUUCCUCCCUCUGCUGCUUUGAGAAAUAAAGAAUAUGGGAAGUAUUUGCCUUUCAAGAAAUGAGCUAAAAGGGAGGAGGGAUCUGUUAUGAUUCUCCAUCCUUGCUUGGCUAGAAGGGCUUGGUUAAAAGAAGUCAAAUCUCCGAAACCCAACCCCCCUUUUUGUUUACCAGAACACAUACUACUCCAAGACACCCAAUGUUGCUUCUUUUCAUCAUCUUUUUUGGCCCCACUAGAAAUUAGCAAUCAUUCGAUUAAUGCCUUUGCAAAGCCCAUAAGGAAGUUUAAAACUCUCCAUAGCAUAUACAGGGAAUACACAUUACCACAGAUUUGAUUAAGGCUUUUUUUCCCAUAUAGGAUGACAAUUUCUCUUUCCAGCCAGCUAGCUUACGCCUAAUCUUGUCUAGAAUUAUCUUAAAGGUCUGUCUCUUAGAUUUAGCUACCACUGAUGGUAAACCUAAAAAUUUAUCUUGUCCUUCCAAAUUCUAAAUUUGCAAGGUAUGAACAACUGCCAUUCUCACAUCUACUGGGGUAUUUUUAUUGAAGAACAAGGAUGACUUGGUAUAAUUGACUAAUUGGCCACUAGCUUAAGCAUAUGUUGUGAGAAUACCUUUAAUGCGAGUUGCCUCCAUAAUAGAUGCUUUAGAAAAAAUCACGGAAUCAUCAACAAGAAGUAAAUGAGUAACCGCUGGAGCGUGCCAAGCAAUAGAGAUGCCUUGGAGAAUUGAGUGAGAUAGCAUGUGAGAGAGACCUUCAGCACAUAGUAGGAACAGGUAUAGAGAUAGUGGAUCCCCUUGCCUAAGCCCUUGGGAUGGAUGGAUACGACCAACUCUAUGCCCAUUAAUUUGUAGAGCAUAGGUAACUAAGGUAAUGCACUUCAUAAUCCAAGAAAUCCAUUGGUCAUGAAAACCAAGGCAGCCAUUCAUAUGUCUUAGGUAGGGCCACUUCACAUAAUUAUAAGCUUCACUGAUAUCCAAUUUAAGAGCCAUCCCAUAUCUCUUGCUCUUCUGUCUAGUUUUUAAGUGAUGUAUGAGUUCA